rnacentral:tRNA from 1 species
GCCUGGGUGGCUUAGUCGGUUAAGCGUCUGAUUUCGGCUCAGGUCAUGAUCUCACCACUUGUGAGUUCAAGCCCCGUGUCGGGCU